rnacentral:rRNA from 1 species
ACGAACGCUGGCGGCGUGCCUAACACAUGCAAGUCGAACGAGAAAGGGGCUUCGGCCCUGAGUAAAGUGGCGCACGGGUGAGUAACACGUGGGUAACCUGCCUCUAAGAUCGGGAUAACCUGUCGAAAGACGGGCUAAUACCAAAUAAGACCACAGUUUCUUCGGGAACACGGGUCAAAGGUAGCCUAUGCUUGCAAGCUAUCACUUAGAGAUGGGCCCGCGCACCAUUAGCUAGUUGGUGGGGUAACGGCCUACCAAGGCAAAGAUGGUUAGCUGGUCUGAGAGGAUGAUCAGCCACACUGGAACUGAGACACGGUCCAGACUCCUACGGGAGGCAGCAGUGGGGAAUAUUGCGCAAUGGGCGAAAGCCUGACGCAGCAACGCCGCGUGAGUGAUGAAGGCCUUCGGGUCGUAAAGCUCUGUCGGA